rnacentral:lncRNA from 1 species
CCUGGGCAGUGGUUGCAUCGUCUAACCUGGGAGGUCCUUGAGGAAUGCCUCUCAGUGCCUCAGGCCCCUCUCCCUGUCCUGGCAGGGGUGACCCGUGAGAAGCCCAGUGGGCUUACAGUGCAAGAGAGAAAAGAUGCAAAAUAUCGAGUUACUUCUUUAACGUGUGCCAAACAGAAAAACGCAGCCUGGUGCAGACAGGAAGACCCACCGAUUCUCGGCAGAGUUCCACGGGCCCUGAGGAGUGCCGACAGCAGGACACAGAGCACGGUCACCUCCUCCCCUGGCCCCCAGUGGCUCUGGUCGGGCCUCCCACGUUCUUUCCUGGGCGUCCCGUGGUGGCAUCCAUCGUCCAGCGCGUAGCCUCGAG